rnacentral:misc_RNA from 1 species
GAACGCAUAUUGCGCUCUUUGGUAUUCCGAAGAGCAUGCUUGUUUGAGUAUCAGUAAACACCUCAACCUCCUCUUGUUUUUUCAAAAGGAGGGUGGACUUGAGCUAUCCCAACAACCUUCACCGGUAGGCGGGCGGCUUGAAAUGCAGGUGCAGCUGGACUUUUAUCUGAGCUAAAAGCAUAUCUAUUUAGUCCUCGUCAAACAGGAUUAUUACUAUUGCUGCAGCUAACAUAAAGGAUAAUUGUCCUCAUUGCUGACUGAUGCAGGAUUUUACGACACUUUAUGUGUUGUUCAACUCGAUCUCAAAUCAAGUAAGACUACCCGCUGAACUUA